rnacentral:pre_miRNA from 1 species
GAGUUUGAAGGUCUAGGAUAUUUUGUAUCUAGGAUUUUCAAUUGAUUUGGCUUGGGACUUAAUUGAGUUUUUAUUUUGUUUUUGGGUCAGUGUCAUGGACCCGUACAAAGAUAUCCAAAACACAAGCACUAACCACAAAAACAUAAAAUAAAAACUCAAAUUAGUCCCAAGCCAAAUUAAUUGAAAACCCUAGAUACAAAAUGCCUUAGAUAUUCAAACUCA